GAACGUACGCUGGCGGCACGCCUAACACAUGCAAGUCGAACGCAGUAGCAAUACUGAGUGGCAAACGGGUGAGUAUAAUGUGGGAAUCUGCCUUUUGGUUUGGAAUAACACGAGGAAACUUGUGCUAAUACCGGAUAAGUCUUUACGGAGAAAGCUUUAUGCACCAUUGGAUGAGCCUGCACUUGAUUAGUUUGUUGGUGGGGUAAUGGCCUACCAAGACUGUGAUCAAUAGCUGAUUUGAGAGGAUGAUCAGCCACAUUGGGACUGAGACACGGCCCAAACUCCUACGGGAGGCAGCAGUGGGGAAUCUUGCACAAUGGAGGAAACUCUGAUGCAGCGAUGCCGCGUGAGUGAAGAAGGCCCUUGGGUUGUAAAGCUCUUUCGUCGGGGAAGAAAAUGACUGUACCCGAAUAAGAAGGUCCGGCUAACUUCGUGCCAGCAGCCGCGGUAAUACGAAGGGACCUAGCGUAGUUCGGAAUUACUGGGCUUAAAGAGUUCGUAGGUGGUUGAAAAAGUUAGUGGUGAAAUCCCAGAGCUUAACUCUGGAACUGCCAUUAAAACUUUUCAGCUAGAGUAUGAUAGAGGAAAGCAGAAUUUCUAGUGUAGAGGUGAAAUUCGUAGAUAUUAGAAAGAAUACCAAUUGCGAAGGCAGCUUUCUGGAUCAUUACUGACACUGAGGAACGAAAGCAUGGGUAGCGAAGAGGAUUAGAUACCCUCGUAGUCCAUGCCGUAAACGAUGUGUGUUAGACGUUGGAAAUUUAUUUUCAGUGUCGCAGCGAAAGCGAUAAACACACCGCCUGGGGAGUACGACCGCAAGGUUAAAACUCAAAUGAAUUGACGGGGACCCGCACAAGUAGUGGAGCAUGUGGUUUAAUUCGAAGAUACGCGCAGAACCUUACCAACACUUGACAUGUUCGUCGCGACUCUAAGAGAUUAGAGUUUUCGGUUCGGCCGGACGAAACACAGGUGCUGCAUGGCUGUCGUCAGCUCGUGUCGUGAGAUGUUGGGUUAAGUCCCGCAACGAGCGCAACCCUCACUUUUAGUUGCCAUCAUUAAGUUGGGCACUCUGAAAGAACUGCCAGUGAUAAGCUGGAGGAAGGUGGGGAUGACGUCAAGUCCUCAUGGCCCUUACGUGUUGGGCUACACACGUGCUACAAUGGUAUCUACAACAGGAAGCAAGACUGCGAAGUUAAGCAAAUCCCUAAAAGAUACCUCAGUUCGGAUUGCACUCUGCAACUCGAGUGCAUGAAGCUGGAAUUACUAGUAAUCGUGGAUCAGCGUGCCACGGUGAAUGCGUUCCCGGGUCUUGUACUCACC
rnacentral:rRNA from 1 species